GAUGAACGCUGGCGGCGUGCCUAAUACAUGCAAGUCGAGCGAACGGACGAGAAGCUUGCUUCUCUGAUGUUAGCGGCGGACGGGUGAGUAACACGUGGAUAACCUACCUAUCAGACUGGGAUAACUUCGGGAAACCGGAGCUAAUACCGGAUGAUAUUUUGAUCCGCAUGGUUCAUUAGUGAGAGACGGUCUUGCUGUCACUUCUAGCUGGAUCCGCGCUGCAUUAGCUAGUUGGUAAGCUAACGGCUUAUCAAGGCUACGAUGCAUAGCCGACCUGAGAGAGUGAUCGCCCACACUGGAACUGAGACACGGUCCUGACUCCUACGGGAGGCAGCAGUAGGGAACGGUCCGCAGUGGGCGAAAGCCUUACGGAGCAAGGGCGCGUGAGUGGUGAAGGUCUUCGGAUCGUAAAACUCUGUUAUUAGUGAAGAACAGAUGUGUAAGUAACUGUGCACAGCGUGACGGUACCUAAUCAGAAAGCCCCGGCUAACUACGUG
rnacentral:rRNA from 1 species